GGCAGCUCUUGGCUCUCAUCUUCUAGCCCCUUCUACCAGAAGAAGGGGCUGUCUUGAAGAAUCCUGGGAAGGACUCUGAUUGGCCUGUCUUGGAUCAUGUACCACCAUCCCUGUGGCUGGAGUGGGGAGGGUACUAAGAAUGACAACCUUCACUAGAACUACAUAGUUGGAGUUGGAGUCAGGGCUUAUUUCGCAGUUUCAUUAAAACUUUUAACACCCUCCCCCUGACCGCCGCCGCGCCACCAUCAUGGACACGAGCCGUGUGCAGCCCAUCAAGCUUGCCAGGGUCACCAAGGUGUUGGGCAGGACCGGUUCGCAGGGACAGUGCACGCAGGUGCGCGUAGAAUUCAUGGACAACACGAGCCGCUCCAUCAUCCGAAACGUGAAAGGCCCCGUGCGUGAGGGCGACGUGCUCACCCUGUUGGAGUCAGAGCGAGAGGCUCGGAGGCUGCGCUGAACUUGUGACUGGGUGCUGGAUGUCUGGGUUGACGCCGUGGCCCACCAGGUGGAUCUGCUGUUAAUAAAGCGUUUAUAUCAUAUGUAAAAAAAAAAAAAAACUUUUAACAUCAUCCAUGUUGUACAUGUGUCAGAAUU